AUACAAAGCAGUGCAGUAGUACAUUUAUACAUUUUUGUACAAAUAGUUAGUAGUUAAAUUGUUGACCAAGUGGUCUGUUGAUUACAGAGUAAUAUCAUUUGUCGAAAUCCCCGACACAUAUAUUUUGUAAUAUGAGGACAUAAAAAUAUAUUUUGAUAAUUACAGUGUUGCAGAACCCAAUACAGAAAACACCGUCCCUGAAUUCCAAGGGAACUUGAUGCUGAAUCACCUGUAACAAAAUCGUGUAUAAUAAAGGCAACAGUAGUAUACCGCUGUUCGAAAUUCAUAAAUCGAUUGAGAAAAAAACAAAUCCGCGUUACCAACUAAAACUGAGGUAAGCACAUCAAAUAUAAGAGAAGAACAACGACUUAACAGAAGCACAACACUAAAGUGUACCACACACAGAUACGAACUAUAAUAUAGCAGUGGCCAUUUUCAAGACUUGGUACAGAACAUUAAAAAAUGGUAAGUUGAAUCUGGUUUUGUGGCUAGCCCAACAUCGCACUUGUAUGGCAAUGUCAAAUAUAUUAACACUAAAAUGACACCAUUACAUCACAAGAAUACAGAACAAAUAAAUGCAAGAACAUCCAGGACAGAGGGUACUGCAAAUAAACAAUACAAUAUAGUAAAUUUCGACAACGAAACUACAGAAACACUGAUGUGAACAAAAUCAAACGACAAUGCAACACACAGAGAAACAAACUAUACGAUAACAAUUGCCAUUUUCCUGACUUGUACAAGACAUUUAUUUAAGACAAAAAAGUGGGUUUUUUUUUAAGAACAAAUAGUUGGUUGAAUAAUACAUGAUUGUACUUGGUCCUUAACAUUAUCAUUGCUACUGUGAAAAGCCGCCAUGCAAAAACAAAAUGAUCUUGCUUCACGUGACAGGGUCAUAUGCCAUCUAUGUAUGAAUAUUUUUGUAUUAAACUUCAUAGGCCUUAUUAAUCAGUACAUUCUCAAAAGGAAGUAGCCCGACAUUUUAAAUUUCACUGGGGCACACCCUCAUGCCUAGAAGUGGUACAUAAAUCAAUAUUCUAGCCUAAGAUCAGUAUAUCUGAGUGGUUACAUCUCCGUAAUUAAACAGUAUCUGAUACAACCUCUGUCGCUGGUAUCUCAGCAGGUUUACAUAGAAUCGUCGUCCAAGUAGGCCGUAACAGGCUUCGACAACGCACGAUUCGACAGAAAGAACUAUCUGUUGGAUCUAAUUUUACCAAGGUAUAGAUGUACAGACAAUAAGUGUUCUUUGGUAUAAUAAAUUGAAAGAGAUUAUUUCCGAAUUCGGUUAAGCGAUGAGUUAAGUUUUACUUCUCUAAAGAUGUGAUUUACGAACCAGCGUCGAAAUAUCUAAAGCUUUUCACCCACUGUCCUAGUACAGUAGGUUUUAAGAUUUCACAGUGGACGCAUCAUGAUGCUAAAAACCAUGUCCUAAAGGCUGGAGCAGAACACACAUGGGUAUUUUUUUGGAAAUUCGAUUGAUUGAUGAUUGCGCGUCGAAUGAAUACUUUUUAGCAGGAUAAUAACUGACCAUGAACAGCAAUGAUAUUCGUGCAUAUUCACAACACAAAUGCAUCGACAGAAACACAAAAUUUGCGGGGUUUGGAACCCAUAGAUCACGAAAUUGACCGCCAGCACCAAACAAAUGUAACAGUUUUGCAAAUUCUUGUUCAUUGCUAUGUAUGACAUUCUUGUAUUAGCAAAAAGUACAUCUGAAAUGGAUGUUUCAAGGUUCGAGUGGUUCAACACAUACAAAAAUUAAAAAACAAAUAUAAAAAAUAGGAAACAAAAAAGAAACAUUACAUCAAUUUACCUACUGACUUAUCUAGUUAUAAUUUUACGCUUUAUCUAACGUGAACCCAUGCAAUGACUGUCAGAUGAAAGUAUGUAAAAACAAAAAAAGACAAAAGUUAGGUAUAAUUAGGUAUUGUAAUACAUUUAAGCAUAUUUGAAGGUAAUAUUAAUUAGAAGCUGUAAAGAGCUUGUAUACACUGUAGCUCACCUUGGUAUAUAUUCAUACCAAACAAACGACACUCUCCAACAUUGUGACAACAAUCUCUAUUUUAUUUAUCUUGUAUUACAGAUCUUUUUAUAGACUGUUUAGUUUCUUUUCAUCCUCUAUAGUUUUUGCUCAAAACAUAAAAGAGGGUAACGAAAUUCUCAUUUAAGGGCCAAUAUACUCCUAUGAAGAGUGUCAUUCUACUAACUAUAUCGUCAACUUUUCAUUUUUACAUCAAGAUGACCUUGAGGCUUGUAAAUUUCCAUUAUGCAAAUUAGUUUUGGGUUUUCAACCGGUCUAUAAAAAUUACAGAUCCGCGGAAAUUAUCUAGUGCAAAAUAACAUUCCAUAUCGCUUGUUCCAAAUUCAUUUUUUAAAUGGAUACUCUUGUUAAUAUUUUUUGAAAACACAAAUUAAUAAUAUGAAAAUGUUUUGUCGUUAGAUAUAUUUUUUAAAGUAAAAAAUCAUUAAUAAUAGCUAUGCACACGUACCAAAAAGUUGUGUUCAAGCUUGCGGAAGAAUAUUGAAAUACCGUUUUGCGAUACUACCGGCAGAGACCGGUAAAUCUGUAAUUGGUUUUGCGGGAAAAUAUGAAUGGCUUCUCAUAUCAAAUAUUUUAGAAAAAUCGUUUUUUACAGAAUCACCAUGCACUGCUACUGCACUAUUAUUAGAACAGUAGAAUAGAAUGAUAUACAAAUGGAUGAUAAUUAAAUAUACACACAACUGUUAUAUUAAUCAAAUAUGAUAACAAACCAGUGUAUACUCUGGGACUAUUAUGCUAAUAUAAUAAUUGUCCCAGAGUAUACACUGGUUUGUAUCAUUACAAUAUAAUAGUUAUUACGUUGCGGUCGGAUUUCCUGUCACUUUUUCCUCACCCACACACAAAAUUUUCUCAGAAAAAAAUAUAUCUCUGUACAUUAACCUCAGUUUCGGGUAUAGAAAUGUGAUCUUUUUCUGUGACAUGUGCUUUUGACCAUCCACAAGAACUUGCGGUCAUCCGAUGUCCAGUACUUCAGUACUUUGAUUACUAGCUAUUGCCCUGUUGAUCAUUCUCGUGAUUUAAAGUGUUUAGUUUUCUAUUUUAAUUCAUAUCAUAUAAGACACAACAGAAAAAAAUUAUCAACUCCGUUUAGUACUGUAUAUAAUUAAGUUUACUGUGUUUGUCUUUGUGCAGAAAAUUAAAUAUAAUUUGAUGUAUUAUAUACUGUAAUCAUCUGUUAUUUCAAAGUCAAAUGUCAACCUGUUGCACUAAGUGUUUAAUUGUAGUGUAUUACAGUGACUAACUUAAUAAUUGCUGAUACAUGUAGAAUGAAUACUGACAUAAAAGAAACAGUACUUAAAACUAAUUGAAUUAUAGAAUAAAAGAGAUAUACGUACAAAGUAUUUCAAGUGCUUUCAACAAUGAUAUAUGCUAUGUAUUCGUUUUUGAAGAGUUGUCUCAUUGGCAAUCAUACCACAUCUUUUUUAAUACUAGAAACGAGCGCAGGCUGAAUGUAAUACCGUUAAGAUGAAAGUCAGUGUCCGUAAUCUGGAUUUCAACUUUGAUUGAUAAACGUUUCAAUUCUUAAUAAAUCAUGAAUCAUUUAUGAAAACUUACAAAAUAUAAGUGAAUGUACAAGUGUAGGAAGAAUGUAACUUACUAGAUUUCCGUUCAGAUAACACAUAUAACAAUAAGGAGAUGUGGUAUGAUUGCCAAUGAGACAAAUAUCCACCAAAGUGCAAAUGAAGUGCAUAUAGGCAAGUAUACGGUACGACCUUCAACAAUGAGAGAACGACUCACAUGAUUUAGUCGUCUGAACAAGGCUCCGACAUGGAAAAUAAAAAACACCAUGAAACAAUUCAUUUGAGAAAACCAAAAUGGCAUAAUUUAUAACAAUAUAAUUUACGAAAUACAAAAAUGACAAACAUGAACUAACGACAACCACUGAACUACAGCCUCUUGACUUGGAUACAAAGUGACAUGGUUAAACAUGUUUGUGAGCGCUCAAUCCUCCUAUAACCCUGAGACACUGGUGUUUUUUGUAUGUAGAUGUCAGUUCACGUUUCUUCAAAUUAUACGCCAGCCGGGUUCUACUACUCUAUAAUGUUUAGUUAACAUGUACAUGUACGCUUCUUAAUUUAUUUGGUCGUUCGCCGUUUUAGUUAGAAUUGAACGCAAGUAACCAAAUACUAGAAAGUCAAAAUAUAAAAAAAAAAGCAAUAGUCCUUGAAGUUAUCAUUUUGUAUAAUACAUUGAUUCUGGCAAGAGUAGACACCGAUGGUUGUUACUUAAAGUAUAAGUCUAUAGAAACUAACUCGUUGAAAAAAAACUCAGAUUUUGAAGUAAUAUUUUGGGUAAUAAGACAUUUUUUAACUUUGAAUGUGUCCUGACUCAAAGCCCAAUUGUGGAGUAAAGCUUUUUUUAUAAAUAGUCGUGUAAAUUCAAAAAUUACCAUAACAUGGUCUAUAGGCGAUUUUAUUUCUUAUCCGUAUAUAGCUUCUCCUAUAGUUACUUUCUGGAAAAAAUAAGAUAAAAUAUAAAAAUACUGCGUAAGUCUGCAGUACAGCAUGCUAUCAGUUUUUAUGUCACUAAUUAUUUUUCUGAUUUAUUUUAAAUUCGUGUUCUAUAAUUUUAAGUGUGUAUUUGGCAACACUUUUAGGAAUUUUGGAUCUCAAUGCUCUUCAACUUCGUACUUUAUUUGGCUUUUUUAAUUUUUGGAUUCGAGCGUCACUGAUGAGUCUUUUGUAACGAAACGCGCGUUGGCUUAUAUAAAAUUUAGUCCUGGUAUCAAUGAUGAGUUUAUUUGUAAUUAAUAGGAAUUUUUAAGAUUUAAAUUUUAAUAAUCUUUACAUUUUGAGUUAUAUAAAGUCACAAAUUAAAGUAAUCAUCGAUCUGUUUUCAGUUUUCAACAUUUUGGCUGCAAUGUUAUCCAUAAACACUCUUAGACCUCAGCUUUAGUUUGUUACCCGGAUUUUUUCCCCUCUCAAUCGAUUUAUGACUUUCGACCAGUGGCAUACUACUUUUACCUUUAUUUAGACGUAUUUGGCACAAUUUUUUUGAAUUUAUGGUCGUAAAUGAUCUUCAACAUUAUAUUUGUUUUGUUUAGCUUUCUAACUAUUUUAAUCUGAGCGUCACUGAUGAGUCUUAUGUAGACGAAACGUGCGUCUGGCGUAUCAAAUUAUAAGCCUGGUAAUUAUAAGCCUGGUACUUUUGAUAACUAUUCGAAUGGUUUUUUUUCAAAUAAAUGACAAUCUUACGUUGUUCUCCUCUUACAAUUAUUAUUUUUUACAAUGUUGAACCAAAUUAUAUUCUCUAAAAGUACGUCACUAUAUUUGUGCUACUGAACAUGAUGCGCAGUUUAAAUCUAGGCUGCAUAGUUUCGACGUGUACUUAAUACAUGGCAUUGUAUCUUUUUAUUACUAUCCCUUUUUCUAUAUUUCUUUUAAGUGCAAAGUCUUCAGAUUAUACCAUGCAUCCUGCCUUGGAUCCUUGCCCAAUAACCAAUGCAUUGCGGUAAGUGCAACUCAUAAUCUUGCAAUCAAUCUGUCAUGUUUUAAAUAGUGCAUUUAGUUUAUAAAGUACCAUUGUAUAAAUUUUGGAAUUGUACUCAUACUAAGAAUGCAAGUCACUCUUGAAUUUUGAUCUUUGUCUGUUAUGGUCAUUCGUUUUGGUGGUGCCUCACAUAUGGCUGGAUAAUUAUUUGAAAGUACAUACUAUCUCGGUUUCUGAUAGAAUACGAUUAAAUUUUUGCUAACUGAUACAUGCCUUAAAUUAUGGUAAUAAUGGGCUGUUGUUUACAUCUUGCUUGGUUCCACAGUCUUUAAACAUCAUGCCACGGCCUCCGUUUUGUAUAUUGUUUGUGAAUUGUUAUAUGACAAUCUAUAAGUUACACUUUGACGAAUUUUAUCAGUUACUUUUUAUGAUCAUAAGUAUGCUUCUUCCUGUCGACCUUGAUGUUUGAGUUUCCUUUUAUUAUUUCCUUAAUAGAAGUCGCUGUUUAAAAGGAAGCUGUUGAAACAGGGUUGUGUACAGCAGUUAUCGUCAAAUUGAAACCCUCUUGAAACAGAAAUGAAUUGGUUGGUCUAGAUGAACUAUCUAUGUCAAGCAUGACCCAGGAUAAUAUUUACAUUUGAUCGCAGCGAUAUCGUCUUUCUUUUCUUGUUUAUCUUAAAUUUCCUAUGUAUAGUAUUUCAUUCUGUUUUCAAUUUCUGUGUUUUUAUGUCCAAAGACACUUCCACUUGCACAUUUAAUUCAUUCUUAAGGGUUAGAGAAUUUCCACGUACAGCUUAUGUGUUUUUGUAUUGUGUAAGGUUAGACGAAAUAUCUACAAUUCCACACCAAUGACUGUAACUAUUGAAAUUGAAAUUGAGAACGGAAAUUGGCAAUGUGUCAAAUAAACUCAUCAUAGAUACCAGGACUAAAUUUUGUAUAUACGCCAGAGGCGCAUUUAGUCUACAUAAGACUCAUCAGUGACGCUCGAAUCCGAAAAAAAAAAAAAAAGGCCAAAUAAAGUACGAAGUUGAAGAGCAUUGAGGACCAAAAUUCCUAAAAUUCCUAAAAGAGACAACAACCCGACCAAAGAGCAGAAAACAGCCGAAGGCCAGCGGAAAUAUUCUAACAUUUACACCAACGGAUAUCUUUAGUGAGACGAAUAAUCUGUGACCCAGUGCGCAGUGACGGAGUUUCAUCCGCGUUUAGGUAUGCCAUCAAUUAAAGUUGAACAUUUCAAAGUCGUUAGUCAUUUUUCCACCAGUCAAGAUCUGUUUUUGUUUUUCGUCGUCUUUAGUUUUUGAUUGUCCUCUCGGUAUAGUCUUACUGUUUUAUCCCUGCCCCGAACAUUGACCUAUGCAACC
rnacentral:lncRNA from 1 species